CUCUCUCUGUCAUUUGGUGGAGAAAACCAUUUUUUUCUCACAAUCCACUACCCCUUAAACCUCACAACAACGUUAACCUCUCAUAGUCUCUCUCGAUCUCAUUUUUCUUCAGAGUAAAAAACUCUCAUUGCUAACAACACAUAGCUCACCUCUUAGAUCUAUUUUCUCCCAAAAUUGAAAAUUUCCACGACAUGUUUCUCCUCCCCUACAACAAUAACCAAACUCACCAUGUUUUCUCCUCCCUCCAUUAACAAAUCACUCAAUUAGAGUAUUUUUCCCUGUAUCUAAUCACUUAAGAUGGUGGUCUUAUAUCAAAAACUUCUCCUUUAUAAGUUCCCUUCUAGAUAAAAACAUGUUUAGUGAGGAGUUCUUUUGGAUCUGACUGAAGUGUCUUGUUUAUUUUAUGGACGAACUCUAGAGUCGGUUUCUCAUUUAUUUGUCACUUGUAAGGUAACCUCGAUGUUAUGGUAUAUGAUCUUUAGGCUUUUAGGGUGAUAUUUUGUCAUUCGUAAGGAUAUCCCACUGAUUUCUUAGUGAUUUUUUUAGCUUAGUUGGAUUGUUUAGGACUAUAGGUGAUUUAGUCAUGAUCUUGCAUUCCAUUGUUUGGUUUAUUUGAAUCUACUAAAAUUAUCUGGUUUUCUUAAGCACACUUAUUGAGGUGAAGGACUUGGAGGACAUGAGAAUUGUCCAGGCAUGUAAAUGAUGUCUUGGGAGUUUCCGAACUACUUUAUCCCUUUCUUUGGUUGGAUAGAGAAUCUUAUUUUUUCUCUGAGCCAAUAGAGAUCUUGACUUUUUUUUUGUUGUUUAUCAAGUGGAGUAUCCUUAUUUUUUCUCUAGAGGACUUUAUUUCUGUUAGUUGGGCUCUAGCUGGAGUAUCCUUGUUGGAGCGGGACAUGCUUUUCUGGGUUUGUCUUUUUUGUGGUUCUAUUUGUUAGAAGUGUUGCUCCUGUUACUAAAUUUUAGGGCUUUACUGUGUUUAUUUUUCUUUGUAUGUUUUUGGUUGUUGCCACUUAUCUUCUUUUGCCUAUGUUAGGCACACAUAGUGCCAAUUUGUAGG
rnacentral:lncRNA from 1 species